CAUUAGCUAGUUGGUGAGGUAACGGCUCACCAAGGCAACGAUGCGUAGCCGACCUGAGAGGGUGAUCGGCCACACUGGGACUGAGACACGGCCCAGACUCCUACGGGAGGCAGCAGUAGGGAAUCUUCCGCAAUGGACGAAAGUCUGACGGAGCAACGCCGCGUGAGUGAUGAAGGUUUUCGGAUCGUAAAACUCUGUUGUUAGGGAAGAACAAGUACCGUUCGAAUAGGGCGGUACCUUGACGGUACCUAACCAGAAAGCCACGGCUAACUACGUGCCAGCAGCCGCGGUAAUACGUAGGUGGCAAGCGUUGUCCGGAAUUAUUGGGCGUAAAGCGCGCGCAGGCGGUUUCUUAAGUCUGAUGUGAAAGCCCCCGGCUCAACCGGGGAGGGUCAUUGGAAACUGGGGAACUUGAGUGCAGAAGAGGAGAGUGGAAUUCCACGUGUAGCGGUGAAAUGCGUAGAGAUGUGGAGGAACACCAGUGGCGAAGGCGACUCUCUGGUCUGUAACUGACGCUGAGGCGCGAAAGCGUGGGGAGCGAACAGGAUUAGAUACCCUGGUAGUCCACGCCGUAAACGAUGAGUGCUAAGUGUUAGAGGGUUUCCGCCCUUUAGUG
rnacentral:rRNA from 1 species